AAGUCGUAACAAGGUUUCCGUAGGUGAACCUGCGGAAGGAUCAUUACAAAACAAAAUCCAAACCACACCAAAUGUGCUCUAUAAAUGCUGAGAAGCUGUCUUUGUGUGUGUUAAUGUUUGUGUGAGGAGAAAAAUUUAUUUUUUCCUCCUCGCACUCUCACACACACACACAAUCCUUCUUUUCAGCAUUGUCUUUGUUUAUCAAUUUUUUCAUUAACUCCUUGUUUAACCAACAACGGAUUACAAUGUUAAAACUUGAAACAAAAAAACAAAACAAAAUGACAACUUUUAACGGUGGAUCUCUUGGCUCGU
rnacentral:misc_RNA from 1 species